CAUCUAUUUCUAGAUUCACAGUGUUUAUUGUCAUGUACACAGUAGGAAACAUGUUUUCCUGAACAAUGAAACUCUUACUUUACUGUCCACACUGGACGCCACAAAGAUUAAAAACAAACACAUUUGAAGUAAAGAACAAAACUAAACAAGACAAAGAAAAGAUUAAUAACAAUAAUUAUAAUAAUUAAAAAGUAAAAACGUCAUGGACUCUGGGAGCAGCUUUCAGGUUGGACUGGUUUCACAUAUUUAUACUAGGAAGGAAUGAGGGCGUGGAAGAGUUCUCACCUCACACACACACACACACACACACACACACACACACACAGUCACAGAGCAGACACACACACACACACACACGCACACACACACAGUCACAGAGCAGACACACACACACACACACUGAUGAAGAACUGACCAACAUCUGAAACAGGAAGGACAGCAGACCUCCAGGAACAAACUCUGCAGAGAAAAGGUGUGUCUCUGCUAUGGAUCAGGACACGGUGAAGGAACAACAUGAGAUUCAGGCUGAAGAUCAGAGGUGAGACCACGUCAGAGCUCAGCACUCACACCUCUGUACAUCAUGUUACACUGUGUGUGUGUGUGUGUGUGUGUGUGUGUGUGUGUGUGUGUGUGGUGUGUGUGUGUGUGUGUGUGUGUGUGUGUGUGUGUGUGUGUGUGUGUUUUCAAGGACCAGGAAGCAGCUCACAUCUGGACCUGGACCUGGACCCAGCUGUGUGUCCUAUAGAAGUGACUGGUCCAUGGGCAAACCCAUUAACUUCAAAGGAGGUCCAUCUACUGACCCACACAGCUUGGAGGGUGUGGAUGGUUCCUCUGGAGCUGAUCCUGACUCCAUCUUUACGCUGCUGGAGGACAACAUCAUCAGCUUUGUUAAGGCUGAACUCAAACACAUGCAGAAGAUUGUGGAUGGAGAUGAUCCAGAGUGCUCAGAGAGUCAGAUGGAGGGUAAAGAUGAGGAGCAGAGGAGGAGCAGGGAGGCCUUUCUGAACAUCACACUGUAUUUCCUGAAGAAGAUGAAGCAGGAGGAGCUGGCUGAGCGUCUGCAGAGCAGUAAGAGCAUGUGAACAUCUUCACUGUGAGGAACAUCACAUGAAGGACACAAAGCUGGCUUUUCUUUUUCAAAGCAUGAUUCAAUCAGUCACAUUUAAUCUGAGGAACCAUCCAGACUGAGAACAUCACACACUUUGAUCUCCAAUAUUCAAACCUGCUCUGACUUCUCCACUCUAACAUUAAGUUUGUCUUCAUUCAGGAACAAAGGCUCCUCGAUACCAACGUGAGCUGAAGUCCAAGCUGAAGAAGAAGUUCCAGUGUGUGUCUGAGGGCGUGGCUAAAGCAGGAAGUCCAACCCUCCUGAAGGAGAUCUUCACAGAGCUCUACAUCACAGAGGGAGGGGGAGGAGAGGUCAACCAGGAACAUGAGGUCAUACAGAUAGAAACAGCAUCCAGGAGAUCAGACACAGCAGAAAGAGCCAUCACACUAGAAGAGCUCUUUAAAGCCCCUCCUGGAAGACCUCGACCAAUCAGGACAGUGAUGACAAAGGGUGUGGCUGGCAUUGGGAAAAACACUCUUAACACACAAGUUCACUGUAGACUGGGCUGAAGACAAAGCCCAGCAGGAGGUCCACUACACAUUCCCACUGACCUUCAGAGAGCUGAACGUGCUGAGGGGGAGGAGCUUCAGCUUGGUGGGACUUGUUGAUCACUUCUUCUCUGGAAGCAAAGAAGCAGGAAUCUGCAGCUUCCAGGAUUUCCUGGUUUUGGUCAUCUUGGAUGGUCUGGAUGAGUGUCGGCUCCCUCUGGACUUCCUCAGCACUCAGACCCUGACUGAUGUCUCAGAGUCCACCUCAGUGGAAGUUCUGCUGAUAAACCUCAUCAGAGGAGAACUGCUUCCAUCAGCCCGCCUCUGGAUAACCACACAGCCUGCAGCAGCCAAUCAGAUCCCUCCUGAGUGUGUGGACAUGGUGACAGAGGUCAGAGGGUUACGGACC
ensembl:lncRNA